CAUUUAUCCCCCCCUACCAGAAUCGGUUUAAGCCUUUAAGGGUAAUCCGGUAAAUUAAUUGCCUGAAAUUAAGGCCCACUUAGAAGCCCACUUUCCUUUUUUCCCGAGAGGUAAUGCAAAGAAUUUAUGUGUGUAAAAAGAGCUGCAAAAAAAUUAAAAAAAAAAGAAGAAGCGGUUCGAGAGAGACGGAGACAAACACGGCCUUA